AGCGAACGCUGGCGGCAGGCUUAACACAUGCAAGUCGAGCGGGCACUUCGGUGUCAGCGGCAGACGGGUGAGUAACACGUGGGAACGUACCCUUUGGUUCGGAAUAACGCUGGGAAACUAGCGCUAAUACCGGAUACGCCCUUUUGGGGAAAGGCUUGCUGCCGAAGGAUCGGCCCGCGUCUGAUUAGCUAGUUGGUGGGGUAAUGGCCUACCAAGGCGACGAUCAGUAGCUGGUCUGAGAGGAUGAUCAGCCACACUGGGACUGAGACACGGCCCAGACUCCUACGGGAGGCAGCAGUGGGGAAUAUUUGACAAUGGGCGCAAGCCUGAUCCAGCCAUGCCGCGUGAGUGAUGAAGGCCUUAGGGUUGUAAAGCUCUUUUGUCCGGGACGAUAAUGACGGUACCGGAAGAAUAAGCCCCGGCUAACUUCGUG
rnacentral:rRNA from 1 species